rnacentral:rRNA from 1 species
AUGUGUCACUUCCAAGUGCUCUGUGAAGCGUUCUUUCAAGAGGAGCCCACAGUGGAACUGUUCAGAGACCUAUUCCAUCUAAACCGUCAUACUGAAUUUACUGACGGCUCCAAUACAGAGUUGGGUGGUGUGGCGAUUCAGAAAAGGAAAGAGGUCACAUACCCUCAUGCAAAACUGCAUAGCCACCCCAAAGAAUGGAAUCAGACAUGGUUCUACUGCAAAGACACCUCCCCUGCUGGUGAGAAUCCCUUGCCCGGCUUUCGACCGGAGCGGCUCAGCAACACACACCCUUCUCCACAGAGAUUGACUGCACAUGAGAGAAGUAAAUAUGCUCCUCAGCUAUCAAAGCUCAGAGCUUUUAUGGCCAACGGUUUAACAGGGGUUGAUCUUGCUCGCUGUUGGAUAUCAUGGAGCAUACUGCCUCUUAGUCUGCGCUCCGGUUUGAUGUGCCAGUAUACUGAUCGUGUUGAUGACCCACUGCGACACUCAAGACUCCAGCUCUCUGGUGAAGAAAUCACAGAGGCUGUGCAUAAGAUACUGAAUGAACCGGAACACAUAUGUGCCAGAACCGGCCUGCUUCCCUUCUGUGCCACCAACAAACCGCCAGCUGGCGAUGAUCCGUUUUGGAGAAAAAACUGUCGCAGGAGAAGCCAGAAAAACCAGACAAAACGGAAAGAGCAGCCCGGCAAAAGACUAAAGCUGUGA